rnacentral:rRNA from 1 species
UACGGGGGGAGCAAGCGUUGUUCGGAUUUACUGGGCGUAAAGGGCGCGUAGGCGGCGUGACAAGUCACUUGUGAAAUCUCCGGGCUUAACUCGGAACGGUCAAGUGAUACUGUCGUGCUAGAGUACAGAAGGGGCAACUGGAAUUCUCGGUGCAGCGGUGAAAUGCGUAGAUAUCGAGAGGAACACCUGCGGCGAAGGCGGGUUGCUGGGCUGAUACUGACGCUGAGGCGCGAAAGCUAGGGGAGCGAACGGG